rnacentral:rRNA from 1 species
GACGAACGCUGGCGGCGUGCCUAAUACAUGCAAGUAGAACGCUGAAGGAGGAGCUUGCCUCUCUGGAUGAGUUGCGAACGGGUGAGUAACGCGUAGGUAACCUGCCUGGUAGCGGGGGAUAACUAUUGGAAACGAUAGCUAAUACCGCAUAAGAGUAGAUGUUGCAUGACAUUUGCUUAAAAGGUGCAAUUGCAUCACUACCAGAUGGACCUGCGUUGUAUUAGCUAGUUGGUGGGGUAACGGCUCACCAAGGCGACGAUACAUAGCCGACCUGAGAGGGUGAUCGGCCACACUGGGACUGAGACACGGCCCAGACUCCUACGGGAGGCAGCAGUAGGGAAUCUUCGGCAAUGGACGGAAGUCUGACCGAGCAACGCCGCGUGAGUGAAGAAGGUUUUCGGAUCGUAAAGCUCUGUUGUAAGAGAAGAACGAGUGUGAGAGUGGAAAGUUCACACUGUGACGGUAUCUUACCAGAAAGGGACGGCUAACUACGUGCCAGCAGCCGCGGUAAUACGUAGGUCCCGAGCGUUGUCCGGAUUUAUUGGGCGUAAAGCGAGCGCAGGCGGUUAGAUAAGUCUGAAGUUAAAGGCUGUGGCUUAACCAUAGUACGCUUUGGAAACUGUUUAACUUGAGUGCAAGAGGGGAGAGUGGAAUUCCAUGUGUAGCGGUGAAAUGCGUAGAUAUAUGGAGGAACACCGGUGGCGAAAGCGGCUCUCUGGCUUGUAACUGACGCUGAGGCUCGAAAGCGUGGGGAGCAAACAGG